AGAGUUUGAUCCUGGCUCAGGAUGAACGCUAGCUACAGGCUUAACACAUGCAAGUCGAGGGGCAUCAGUUUGGUUUGCUUGCAAACCAAAGCUGGCGACCGGCGCACGGGUGAGUAACACGUAUCCAACCUGCCUCAUACUCGGGGAUAGCCUUUCGAAAGAAAGAUUAAUAUCCGAUAGCAUAUAUUUCCCGCAUGGGUUUUAUAUUAAAGAAAUUCGGUAUGAGAUGGGGAUGCGUUCCAUUAGUUUGUUGGGGGGGUAACGGCCCACCAAGACUACGAUGGAUAGGGGUUCUGAGAGGAAGGUCCCCCACAUUGGAACUGAGACACGGUCCAAACUCCUACGGGAGGCAGCAGUGAGGAAUAUUGGUCAAUGGACGCGAGUCUGAACCAGCCAAGUAGCGUGAAGGAUGACUGCCCUAUGGGUUGUAAACUUCUUUUAUAUGGGAAUAAAGUNGUCCACGUGUGGAUUUUUGUAUGUACCAUAUGAAUAAGGAUCGGCUAACUCCGUGCCAGCAGCCGCGGUAAUACGGAGGAUCCGAGCGUUAUCCGGAUUUAUUGGGUUUAAAGGGAGCGUAGGCGGAUUGUUAAGUCAGUUGUGAAAGUUUGCGGCUCAACCGUAAAAUUGCAGUUGAUACUGGCAGUCUUGAGUGCAGUAGAGGUGGGCGGAAUUCGUGGUGUAGCGGUGAAAUGCUUAGAUAUCACGAAGAACUCCGAUUGCGAAGGCAGCUCACUGGAGUGUAACUGACGCUGAUGCUCGAAAGUGUGGGUAUCAAACAGGAUUAGAUACCCUGGUAGUCCACACAGUAAACGAUGAAUACUCGCUGUUUGCGAUAUACAGUAAGCGGCCAAGCGAAAGCAUUAAGUAUUCCACCUGGGGAGUACGCCGGCAACGGUGAACUCAAAGGAAUUGACGGGGGCCCGCACAAGCGGAGGAACAUGUGGUAAUAAUUCGAUGAUACGCGAGGACCUUACCC
rnacentral:rRNA from 1 species